CCUACGGGGGCUGCAGUGGGGAAUAUUGGACAAUGGGCGAAAGCCUGAUCCAGCCAUGCCGCGUGUGUGAAGAAGGCCUUCGGGUUGUAAAGCACUUUCAGUGGGGAAGAAAGCCUUGGGGCUAAUACCCUCGAGGAAGGACAUCACCCACAGAAGAAGCACCGGCUAACUCCGUGCCAGCAGCCGCGGUAAUACGGAGGGUGCGAGCGUUAAUCGGAAUUACUGGGCGUAAAGCGCGCGUAGGCGGUCUGAUAAGCCGGUUGUGAAAGCCCCGGGCUCAACCUGGGAACGGCAUCCGGAACUGUCAGGCUAGAGUGCAGGAGAGGAAGGUAGAAUUCCCGGUGUAGCGGUGAAAUGCGUAGAGAUCGGGAGGAAUACCAGUGGCGAAGGCGGCCUUCUGGACUGACACUGACGCUGAGGUGCGAAAGCGUGGGUAGCAAACAGGAUUAGAUACCCUAGUACUC
rnacentral:rRNA from 1 species